ACCUUUCUCCAAACAACGUUGCCACACGCGGAGAGCACGGAGAUUUCUGGGGCUUUGGAGGGAAUCGUGAGCGGGCGGGAGGAGGCCGGGGACCACACAGAACUGAGAUCCAGAGAGAUGAUGACUUUGCCCAUAGACCAAACAAAGAAAUACAUGUUUCAGUCCUGUGUCCUCCUGCUAUGUGUGUCCGGAAUUGGUGGGUUCUUGGUCUCACUGACUUCAAGAAUGAAGCUGCGGACCCUCGCGGACCGUGUGUGAAUGCCUGCUCUGUGAGCCCUCAGAAUCUACUGGCUGAAUGAGUGCGUGGAGGAAAUGUGCUCAGAGCUGCUGUGUGUCAUCCUGUGUUUGAAGUGCUCCUGCAGCUAUCAUUCAUCCAGUUAAGAAUUUGAAGAAGUGUGUGCACAAAGGAUGUACCAGACUAUUAAUAUUGGUGACCAUGGGCUAGGGAGUAUGUUCUUGAUAAAUUUACAAAAUCUUCUGAUCAACUAUAGACUUUAAAAAUAUAACAUCAAUUUUUUAAUAAAAUACUCUCUCUCUCUCUCUCUCUCUCUCUCUAUAUAUAUAUAUAUAUAUAUAUAUAUAUAUAUAUAUGUAUAUAUAUUUGCUUUUUUUUUUUUUUUUUUUUAGACGGAGUCUCACUCUGUUGCCCAGGCUGGAGUGCAGUGGCACAAUCUCGGCUCACUGCAACCUCUACCUCCUGGAUUCAAGCGGUUUUCCUGCCUCAGCCUCCAGAGUAACAGGGAUUACAGGCAUACUCCACCUUGCCCUGCUGAUUUUGUAUUUUUAGUAGAGACAAGAGUUUCACCAUGUUGGCCAGGCUGGUCUUGAACUCCUGACCUCAAGUGAUCCACUGCCUCAGCCUCCCAAAGUGCUGGGAUUAUAGGCGUGAGCCACUGCGCCUGGCCAAAUGCUCUACUUUUUAAUCAAUGUUUUCCAAAAUAGGGAUUUUUGCUAUGUGCUUUAGAAAUUAGAGAACAAACGGUGAUAAUAUAUGCUAAACUUAAAAUUAGUAUGCCUCCUUUUAUAGACAACAAGAACUUUGUCACUUCCCAGUUUGUCUUGUCAUUCAGGAGGCUCAGAGCUACGAUCUGUGCCCACUCGUGCUGCCUCUUCUUAACUUUGAUUUCCUGAAGCAGCGAUUUCAUCUCCGUUUCCCCUCAUCACCUGUUCUUUUAACUGUUUAAAAACAGCAUUACAUGUUGUUGCAAGUGGCCUCAAAUUCUUUUUGGUAGAAGGGAAAUUGUAAUCCAUGAGAAGAAAAAAAUUUUCCUAACUAUUCUCAGGUGUGUUUAAGGGCUGCAUUCCAUGAUGCUAUCAGUGCCUUCUUUCAGCUCACAGGAUAUCGGCCAUGUUAAUGAGUCUGAUGUUGCUAGUAUCACAGGCACCGGAAAAUAUGCACAUUAUGCUGGAGCAUUAGAAUGCAACAGAAAGAGCCCUGGGCUUGGAGUAUGCAGAACUGGUUCUUGUUACAACUCCUCUUACUAGUGGGCUGCUAUGGACCUAAAGUGGAGGGCUUUGAAAUUUCCUGCUUAAUUGGGCUGCAUGUCAUUGCUGUCCUUAGAAGUUGCUCUGGGAUGCAGGUGCUGGUUUCUUGGAUCUCCUUUGCUGGAAUUUUGCAUGUCUUGUUUUGUUGUUGUACCAGCUUUGUGGAUCAGCCAACAUCCUUGGCUUGCCCUGUGGGGAGUGGGGUGGGACACAUCUUGGAUUGCUCUAUUCCAGGGAUGUCCAACAUUUUGGCUUCCCUAGGCCACAUUGGAAGAAGAAGAAUUGUAUUGGGCUACACAUAAAAUACACUAUCACUAAAAUAGCUGAUGAGCUAAAAAAAAAAAUCGCAAAAAAAAUCUCAUAAUGUUUUAAGAAAGUUGAUGAAGUUGUAUUGGGCCACAUUCAAAGCUUUCCUGGGCCACAUGCAGGCUGAGGGCUGUGGAUUGAAUAAACUUGCUCUAUUCCCUUU
ensembl:lncRNA KLF3-AS1 KLF3 antisense RNA 1